GAACGCCGCCGCUGACCUUCUUGGCCAACGUAUAUAUAUAAGGUCGCGCUGUAGUCUGGCCAUUCCACUCCCUCCCUCGUCCUCCUGUGCCGCCGCCAACCUCGGUCCCUUAAGACAACCGAAAAUGAAAGUCUUCGUCAUCGCCGUCGUCCUCACUGCCGUGCUCGGGGCUCCUCGGCCUCAGCAACAGCAGGCAACAGCACCCGUUUAUCCCAUCAUCCCGUACUCGUACCAGUACGAAACCAGCGACGCCGCCACCGGCAACUUCCACAACAAGGCCGAGCUGAA